AGCUCAGAUGGUUAGAGCGCAGGAUUCAUAACCCUGAGGUCACGGGUUCAAUUCCCGUC
rnacentral:tRNA from 1 species